UACAGAGGUCUCAAGCGUUGUUCGGAUUCAUUGGGCGUAAAGGGCGCGUAGGCGGCGAGGUAAGUCGGGUGUGAAAUCUCAGAGCUCAACUCUGAAACUGCACUCGAUACUGCUUUGCUAGAGGACUGGAGAGGAGAUUGGAAUUCACGGUGUAGCAGUGAAAUGCGUAGAGUAUCGUGAGGAAGACCAGUGGCGAAGCGGAUCUCUGGACAGUUCCUGACGCUGGAGGCGCG
rnacentral:rRNA from 1 species